GUAAAGAGCUCGUAGGUGGUUUGUCGCGUUGUUCGUGAAAUCUCACGGCUUAACUGUGAGCGUGCGGGCGAUACGGGCAGACUUGAGUACUGCAGGGGAGACUGGAAUUCCUGGUGUAGCGGUGGAAUGCGCAGAUAUCAGGAGGAACACCGGUGGCGAAGGCGGGUCUCUGGGCAGUAACUGACGCUGAGGAGCGAAAGCGUGGGGAGCGAACAGGAUUAGAUACCCUGGUAGUCCACGCCGUAAACGGUGGGUACUAGGUGUGGGUUUCCUUCCUUGGGAUCCGUGCCGUAGCUAACGCAUUAAGUACCCCGCCUGGGGAGUACGGCCGCAAGGCUAAAACUCAAAGAAAUUGACGGGGGCCCGCACAAGCGGCGGAGCAUGUGGAUUAAUUCGAUGCAACGCGAAGAACCUUACCUGGGUUUGACAUGCACAGGACGCCGGCAGAGAUGUCGGUUCCCUUGUGGCCUGUGUGCAGGUGGUGCAUGGCUGUCGUCAGCUCGUGUCGUGAGAUGUUGGGGUAAGUCCCGCAACGAGCGCAACCCUUGUCUCAUGUUGCCAGCGGGUAAUGCCGGGGACUCGUGAGAGACUGCCGGGGUCAACUCGGAGGAAGGUGGGGAUGACGUCAAGUCAUCGUGCCCCUUAUGUCCAGGGCUUCACACAUGCUACAAUGGCCGGUACAAGGGGCUGCGAUGCCGCGAGGUUAAGCGAAUCCUUUUAAAGCCGGUCUCAGUUCGGAUCGGGGUCUGCAACUCGACCCCGUGAAGUCGGAGUCGCUAGUAAUCGCAGAUCAG
rnacentral:rRNA from 1 species